rnacentral:rRNA from 1 species
CGAACGGGUGAGUAACGCGUGGGUAACCUGCCUUAUAGCGGGGGAUAACUAUUGGAAACGAUAGCUAAUACCGCAUAACAAUAGAGAUUGCAUAAUCUUUAUUUGAAAGUGCCAACUGGUACACUAUGAGAUGGACCCGCGUUGUAUUAGCUAGUUGGUAGUGUAAUGGACUACCAAGGCGAUGAUACAUAGCCGACCUGAGAGGGUGAUCGGCCACAUUGGGACUGAGACACGGCCCAAACUCCUACGGGAGGCAGCAGUAGGGAAUCUUCGGCAAUGGACGAAAGUCUGACCGAGCAACGCCGCGUGAGUGAAGAAGGUUUUCGGAUCGUAAAACUCUGUUGUUAGAGAAGAAUGUUGAUUAGAGUGGAAAAUUAAUCAAGUGACGGUAUCUAACCAGAAAGGGACGGCUAACUACGUGCCAGCAGCCGCGGUAAUACGUAGGUCCCGAGCGUUGUCCGGAUUUAUUGGGCGUAAAGCGAGCGCAGGUGGUUUAAUAAGUCUGAUGUAAAAGGCAGUGGCUCAACCAUUGUGUGCAUUGGAAACUGUUAGACUUGAGUGCAGUAGAGGAGAGUGGAAUUCCAUGUGUAGCGGUGAAAUGCGUAGAUAUAUGGAGGAACACCGGUGGCGAAAGCGGCUCUCAGGACUGUCACUGACACUGAGGCUCGAAAGCGUGGGUAGCAAACAGGAUUAGAUACCCUGGUAGUCCACGCCGUAAACGAUGAGUGCUAGUUGUUUGGGGCUAUCCAGCCCUAAGUGACGCAGCAAACGCAUUAAGCACUCCGCCUGGGGAGUACGACUGCAAGGUUAAAACUCAAAUGAAUUGACGGGGGCCCGCACAAGCGGUGGAGCAUGUGGUUUAAUUCGAUGCAACGCGAAGAACCUUACCUACUCUUGACAUCCAGAGAACU